rnacentral:rRNA from 1 species
AUUGAACGCUGGCGGCAUGCCUUACACAUGCAAGUCGAACGGCAGCACGGGGCAACCUGGUGGCGAGUGGCGAACGGGUGAGUAAUGCAUCGGAACGUACCUUUCAGUGGGGGAUAACGUAGCGAAAGUUACGCUAAUACCGCAUAUUCUGUGAGCAGGAAAGCAGGGGAUCGCAAGACCUUGCGCUGAUUGAGCGGCCGAUGUCAGAUUAGCUAGUUGGUGAGGUAAAGGCUCACCAAGGCGACGAUCUGUGGCGGGUCUGAGAGGAUGAUCCGCCACACUGGAACUGAGACACGGUCCAGACUCCUACGGGAGGCAGCAGUGGGGAAUUUUGGACAAUGGGGGCAACCCUGAUCCAGCCAUGCCGCGUGAGUGAAGAAGGCCUUCGGGUUGUAAAGCUCUUUCGGCCGGGAAGAAAUCGCACGGGCUAAUACCCUGUGUGGAUGACGGUACCGGAAUAAGAAGCACCGGUUAACUACGUGCCAGCCGCCGCGGUAAAAC